UACGGAGGGGGCAAGCGUUGUUCGGAAUUACUGGGCGUAAAGGGCGCGCAGGCGGCUGCUCAAGUCAGGCGUGAAAGGCCUGGGCUCAACCCGGGAAUUGCGCUUGAGACUGGGCUGGCUUGAGUGUGGGAGAGGUGAGUGGAAUUCCUGGUGUAGCGGUGAAAUGCGUAGAUAUCAGGAGGAACACCUGUGGCGAAAGCGGCUCACUGGACCACAACUGACGCUGAGGCGCGAAAGCUAGGGGAGCAAACAGG
rnacentral:rRNA from 1 species